rnacentral:rRNA from 1 species
AUUGAACGCUGGCGGCAUGCUUUACACAUGCAAGUCGAACGGUAACAGGCCGCAAGGUGCUGACGAGUGGCGAACGGGUGAGUAAUGCAUCGGAACGUGCCCAGUCGUGGGGGAUAACGCAGCGAAAGCUGUGCUAAUACCGCAUACGAUCUAUGGAUGAAAGCGGGGGACCGUAAGGCCUCGCGCGAUUGGAGCGGCCGAUGUCAGAUUAGCUAGUUGGUGGGGUAAAGGCCCACCAAGGCGACGAUCUGUAGCUGGUCUGAGAGGACGACCAGCCACACUGGGACUGAGCAACGGCCCAGACUCCUACGGGAGGCAGCAGUGGGGAAUUUUGGACAAUGGGCGCAAGCCUGAUCCAGCAACGCCGCGUGCAGGAAGAAGGCCUUCGGGUUGUAAACUGCUUUUGUACGGAACGAAACGGUCUGGGUUAAUACCCUGGGCUAAUGACGGUACCGUAAGAAUAAGCACCGGCUAACUACGUGCCAGCCGCCGCUGUAAAAC